rnacentral:snRNA from 1 species
UGACUCUGGUUUCUCUUCAUUACGCACAAGCCUUUCGCCUUUUACUAAAGACUUCCGUGGAGAGGAACACUUAUGAGUUCAAUGUAUUUUUGGAGUGGCUUUGCUUCUUACAGAGCC